rnacentral:rRNA from 1 species
UACGUAGGGGGCGAGCGUUAUCCGGAAUUAUUGGGCGUAAAGGGCGCGUAGGCGGGUAUUUAAGUCAGAUGUGAAAACCCAGGGCUCAACCUUGGAUCUGCAUCUGAUACUGGAUAUCUUGAGGACAGGAGAGGAAAGUGGAAUUCCUAGUGUAGCGGUGAAAUGCGUAGAUAUUAGGAGGAACACCAGUGGCGAAGGCGACUUUCUGGACUGUAACUGACGCUGAGGCGCGAAAGCGUGGGGAGCAAACAGG